AUGAACCUGGAGAAGAAGACGGCCAAGAAGAAGAAGAAGAUUUUCCGGCUGCCGCAAGACGAGCUGGAUUAUUGCCUUACCUUUCAAGUGAGACCCAUUCGGCAAAGUCUGGCUCUAUGGGAUCCUUCCACCGCUGCUAAGGUGGAGAAAAUCAACAAACGAAUUCUGGUUGAGCAGGAGAAUAUGAGACAAGAGUAUGAGGCCAAAGGCUAUGUCACGUUCGAAGCAGAGGUCACCGACGACGACGAGGAGGAGGUGGAAGAUGCGGCAGCAGGCGCGGCGGCUCCGUGUAUUAUUCCACAAGUUGGAGUAGAAGAUGCAGCAGCUCUUUGUAUCACUGCACAAGUUGGAGGCCGAAGGAGAUUUCGCCCGGGAAUCGUCAAGCAAGCAUGCCGCGUUAAGAAAAUAAUAAUUUAG
rnacentral:rRNA from 1 species